AGAAUUAGAAAGAGCAUAAUGCCUGUUAUACCAGACCCAAAACAAAUGUAUUUGGACUUGUUCAGUGAUCACAAUGGGAACUUCCAGGACUGGAUUAGCACAACUGAAAAUAUGUUGGUUCAAGCAAAGGUAGAAGAUGAGGAAGAGGCAUGUGUCAUUGAAGAACAAGAAGAUGAGGACACUCAGGCAGUAAAAAGUGAAAGCCCAAGAGAAUCUUCCUUGAAAGACUAAGGAUAAAUAUCAUAUCAUAUGAAUCAAGAAGAACAAAUUCUUGGAAGAAGUCUAGUACAUGAUAGAAUCUAUGAUCAUUGGAUCCUCAC